UGCAGCGCCCCACCCCGGGAACCCAGGUCUUCCGCCUGCAUUAUCUAGAGAAAGUCUAGAUCAAUUUACUACUCCUCUAAGGAGUCUAUUGCUAGGACUCAGAGCUAGACAGUCCUGUGAAUCUCAAGAGUUAAUGGAGAAAUAUUCUAGCUGCUUUUUCUAAAUACAGGACAGGAAGGCACAGAAAUUAUUAGAAAAAAAAAAGCUGGCUGAAUGUCAGACAAUAUGUGUUGCUAUGAAAGAGAACCAACUUUAACUUUACUUUUCCCCUCAACCUUGGCCUGCUCUCAUGCAAAGCACGAUGCCUCAGAAAGAAAAUGUCUACUGGAGUCACUAAAACGCUUUUGAUUAAAGAAAUCUAAAUGCUCAAAAUCCAUAGUGCAGAGAAACAUGCAAACUCAAAUGAACUGGCUGAGCACAAAGCCGGUGCGGCUGCUGGGAGACAAGCCAUCCUCUUGCGUUCCUCUUCCUCUUCCUCCAGGGCGCUGGCGCCAGGCCCCUUGUCUGCUGACCGAGCUGCAGCUUCCUUGAAGGAGUCCACUUGGAAGAGGGAAAAGCCCCUCGGGUGCAAGCUGGACGCGUGGGAGCGUCGUGCGGAGGCAGGCUCCGCACCCAAGGGCAGGCCUCUUCUUGGGCUCACCAGAGCCGCUGCCAACUGUCCCAUUUCAACAAGGAGUCUUAAAAUGAACAUUCAUAGAAUCAGAAGCAACACAAUACUGAGAAGCAACAUGAUAUUGAACAUUUCAUCACAGUACAUUCUUUAAAUUUCAUGUUUAGAAGCUAUAAAAAUACAAAAAUUUACAUUUUUUAAAAGUUAAAACAUUUAAAAACUGGUUACCUUUUUCGCAUUUUCCUUCAGAUAUCUAAGAUUUAAUAGACUAAAACCAGACCUUAUACUAGCUUUAUGAAUACUGCAAAAACAAAAGGGGUAAUUCCGUGAGGACAGGUGAACUGGUUUUCUAUUUACUGCUCCUCACACACCCCAACAGCGGUGAGCCCUGGAGCGGGGCUGCACCCACAGACAGAUGGGUCGUGUGAGAAUCCGACCCACGGCCCUCCCCCAGCAACUGUCCUAAACAAACCUUGGAGAAGGUAACAUACAAACCCAUCAGAGAUUUCUAAAUGGUAAGUCUCUGGAGGCAGCUCCAGGCAUCACGGGGGAAUCUGUGUGGCGUCCGUGUGGCCGCAUCCCCUGACGUAAGCGUGCCAGUGCACAGCUCUAACACAGAUACACUCAACAAUCAGUAACCUUUCGGUUUCUAAUCAACAACUUUCAGUAUUCAAGUACUGAUAGUAUUAAUCCAUGAACUUUAAAUUCUUAAAAACAAAUGAAAUCUUGAGAACAUAGAAACUUAUUGCUGUAUUUGAAAUGAUACAAUAUUUUUUAAAGUAUCCAUGAAAUAAUUUAAAGAUGCACACCUUUUACCAGAGCGUGUCACCCAAAGCUGCUGAAAAGAGCAACUUCAGGGCUUCUAGAAAUCAUGACAUAACCCCACACUGACAUCAGCCAAUUUGUCUUUUCAAUUCUCACAGCUUUCCAUACCAUUUUUUUUUUUUAAGAGAAAGGUACUGCAUCUUUAUCAUACAGGUACAGCAGUUUUAAAGGGACAAAAUUCAAGU